UAGGGAAUCUUCGGCAAUGGACGAAAGUCUGACCGAGCAACGCCGCGUGAGUGAAGAAGGUUUUCGGAUCGUAAAACUCUGUUGUUAGAGAAGAAAAAGGACGUUAGUAACUGAACGUCCCCUGACGGUAUCUAACCAGAAAGCCACGGCUAACUAAGUGCCAGCAGCCGUGGUAAUACGUAGGUGGCAAGCGUUGUCCGGAUUUAUUGGGCGUAAAGCGAGCGCAGGCGGUUUCUUAAGUCUGAUGUGACAGCCCGCGGCUCAACCGGGGAGGGUCAUUGGAAACUGUUGGACUUGAGUGCAGACGAGGAGAGUGGAAUUCCCGGUGUAGCGGUGAAAUGCGUAGAUAUCUAGAGGAACACCAGUGGCGGAGGCGGCUCUAUGGUAUGAUACUGACGCUGAGGCGCGAAAGCGUGGGGAGCAAACAGG
rnacentral:rRNA from 1 species